AACCGCGUAGCUCAGUUGGCAGAGCAUUGGUCUGGUAUUCCAAAGGUCGUGGGUUCGAUUCCCACCAAGGCCA
rnacentral:tRNA from 1 species